GAUCCUGGCUCAGGACGAACGCUGGCGGCGUGCUUAACACAUGCAAGUCGAACGAGAAUCUGUGGAUCGAGGAUUCGUCCAAGUGAAGCAGAGGACAGUGGCGGACGGGUGAGUAACGCGUGAGGAACCUGCCUUUCAGAGGGGGACAACAGUUGGAAAAAACUGCUAAUACCGCAUGAUACAUUUGGGUGGCAUCAUCUGAAUGUCAAAGAUUUAUCGCUGAAAGAUGG
rnacentral:rRNA from 1 species